GACGAACGCUGGCGGCGUGCUUAACACAUGCAAGUCGAACGGAAAGGCCCUGCUUUUGUGGUGUGCUCGAGUGGCGAACGGGUGAGUAACACGUGAGUAACCUGCCCUUGACUUUGGGAUAACUUCAGGAAACUGGGGCUAAUACCGGAUAGGAGCUCCUGCUGCAUGGUGGGGGUUGGAAAGUUUCGGCGGUUGGGGAUGGACUCGCGGCUUAUCAGCUUGUUGGUGGGGUAGUGGCUUACCAAGGCUUUGACGGGUAGCCGGCCUGCGAGGGUGACCGGCCACAUUGGGACUGAGAUACGGCCCAGACUCCUACGGGAGGCAGCAGUGGGGAAUAUUGCACAAUGGGCGGAAGCCUGAUGCAGCAACGCCGCGUGCGGGAUGACGGCCUUCGGGUUGUAAACCGCUUUCGCCUGUGACGAAGCGUGAGUGACGGUAAUGGGUAAAGAAGCACCGGCUAACUACGUG
rnacentral:rRNA from 1 species